AUCUAAAAAUCGAAAUUGAAUAAUGGAAUUAGAGUUGUUAAUUUCGAUAUUAAUCGGUUCAUUAUUCUAUUUAUUUUACAAAUGGGCAACUGCAAACAAUGAUUAUUUCGUGAAGCGUAAUAUAUUGCAUUUGAAACCAGUUUUUUUGGUGGGAAAUACGCUGGAUUUAUUUCUGUUUCGAUCAUAUCCUGCAAAAUGGUUGGAAUCGACUUAUCAUCGCUUUCCAAAUGAAAAAAUCAUUGGAUUUUUCAAUCGAAGAACGCCAGCUUAUAUGUUGCGUGAUUUGAAUAUCAUUUCUAAGAUUGCGAUCAAAGAUAGUAGUCAUUUCGAAAAUCAAUCGAUGAUGUUUGCACUAAAAGGUGAUUCAUUUUUGGGAAAAAGUUUGAUUUCAUUGGAUGACAAAAAAUGGCGUGAUAUGAGAUCAUCACUUACUCCAAUUUUCACGAGUAGAAAAUUGCGGCAUAUGUCAGAACUGGUGGUGGAAUGUGUCGAUGAUAUGAUCGAAGAUUUAAAAUCAAAAUCGAAGCAAAAUAAGUCGGUUCGACUGAAUAUGAAGGAGGUAUUCUCACGUUUUGCAAAUGAUGUUAUCACAUCGUGCGCAUUUGGAGUAAAAGUUAAUUCAUUUAAAAAUCCCAAUAAUGACUUUUACAUAUUUGGAAAUGCUAUGAUGAAUUUUAUCAAACCGAGUUCCAUCUUACGAAUAUUGCUCAUUAGACUUCUUCCCACUUUAAUGCUUGCACUGAAUGUUGAAUAUUUCAGCUAUGGUUUGAGAAGAUUUUUUAAAACAAUGGUUUUGAAUAUAUCCAGAUCCCGAAAAAUUUGACCCGGAAAGAUUUAACGAUGAAAAUAAGAAGAAUAUCAAAACGGGAGCAUUCAUUCCAUUUGGUAUUGGACCACGUAAUUGUAUCGGUGGACGGUUGGCUUUGAUUAUAAUUAAGGCAUGUUUCUUCCAUUUAUUGUUGAAUUUUAAUAUACAGCCGCAUGAAAAAUCCGAAAUACCUUUGAAAAUACGUAAUUCAAUCGCAUU